GAUGAACGCUGGCGGCGUGCUUAAUACAUGCAAGUCGAGCGAAGAGACGAGGAGCUUGCUCCUCUGACGUUAGCGGCGGACGAGGGAGUAACACGUCGAGAGCCUACCUCUAAGACUGGGAUAACUUCGGCAUACCGGAGCGAAUACCAGAGAAUAUAUUGAACCUCAUGCAUCAAUAGUGUAAGACGGUUUUUGUUUCGGUUGUAGAUGGAUCCGCGCCGCAUUAGCUAGUUGGUAGGGUAACGGCUUACCAAGGCGACGAUGCGUAGCCGACCUGAGAGGAGGGUCGGCCGCACUGGAGGGGAGACACGGCCCAGAAGACUACGGGAGGCAGCAGUAGGGAAGCAUCCGCAAUGGGCGAAAGCCGGCUGGAGCAACGCCGCGGGAUGGAUGAAGGUCUUCGGCUCGUAAAGCUCUGUUAUCAGGGAAGAACAAAUGUGUAAGUAUUUAUGCAUGUCUUGACGGUAGCUAAACAAAAAGCCCCGGCUAACUACGUG
rnacentral:rRNA from 1 species